CUGCUGGCCAGCACAGGCACCCUGUGAGGACAGUGGCAGCAGGGCAUCAGCACAGCACACCGGUCUUCCCCUGCCUUCUCCUUAAAAUGCUCAUGAAGCUGUUGUAAAAAACAAGCCAGAGACUCCAAUGCUCUUGCCUUUGGGUAGUUUUCCAUCAGGGCAUUUGCCUCCGGGUGUCAGGGACACCAUCUCGCUGCCGCACACCACCCCACUCCCAUUGCAGAGCCCACAGAAAUAAGGGACUGAGAUUGUUCUCAAUCAGUUUAAGCCACCCUCGCUUCCUGGUGAGGGAAGGAAAGGCUCAAAAGGCUUUGCAGCAUGCUCAGGUGUUAACUGCUUUCCUCCUAGGAAAUUUGUAUCUUGGCUUUUCCACUUUACAGCAGGGAAAAUGGAAGGUGCCAGAGGAGGGUGCUGGCUGGGGUGGAAACACCUGGGCUCUACCAGAUGCUUGAGUUUGAGUCACCUUGCAAGAAGCCUUAAGGCAAGAUGAGACAUUCAUCUUUGUCUCUGCUGCCCUUGCUCUGCUGGGGGAGUCACUGCCUGCAGGCGUGCGGAGAACACUGGGUCAAGCAGCACUUGGGUGUCUUCUAGAGCUGGACCUGCAGCAGUUCAUCAGUCACUUCCCUUUUGGAAAUCAAUAGGCAUGUGUAGUACAAGUGCUUCUGACCCCUGAGAGUUUAUCCAUUAAAGUCAUGCACAGAUAGAAAGAAAAAACCAAACAAAAGAUAAACCUACAAAGUGGCCACAGAGUGUCUGAUGCCUCCCAGCACUGAGAGCAGCCCUGCUGCAGAGGCUGUGCUCGAGCCUCAGGUGUACCUUCAAGUGCUGCAAUGUUGCUGGGGUGCAGCAGCUUUUUAUAUUUAAAUUAAUGGCUGUCAUAAGUACAUGGAAGGCUUUUGGGAGCUUGAAUGGGAGGUGUCUAUAUAGGGUAUGUCUGUGUGAAGACGGGAAUAGAAGCAACCACAACCCUUCUGCCAAAAGUGAUGGGGCUGAAGAACAGGAU